AUUAUUUUGGCAGAGUUAAUGCAUUAAGGUUAGAAUUUAAAAAUAUAUAAUUUAAUUAUAUAAAUAAUA
rnacentral:tRNA from 1 species